UGCUGCAAACCAUGUUAAAUACGCAUAAAUAACUAAGAUUAAUUUUUGUUUUUUUUAUGACCCUAGUUGAUACAAUUAUCGUCUUGCUAUCGUCUAAUAAACAAAAAUAAAAAAGUAUCUAAAAUUUUCGUCAACACGGAGACCAUUUUGAAAAUUUAAUACUGUACAAAAUGGCUGCCGUUCAAACGACCGAUUUUAAAGUUAAACAAUUACCUCGAACGUCAUAACAGACGGUAAUAAAUAGUAAAAACAGUAGGAAUAGCACGAAAAAUGGAAGCGAAAAAGUAUAAUUAGCAGCGGUUCCCCAGAAACCGUCUCCACGUUGGCAGACCUGCUUAGUGUGCUCGUCUGCUCUCGUCCUAGCGCUGAGCGCACGGCCGCCGUAUCUCGGCUUUUUACCAAUUAACGUUUACUUUGGUUGGGCUUAUCGUGACGGAAAACUCGUGCUAACUUGAUUUUCCGAUAGACUUGUAUCAUUACAAAGUUCUGGACCGAACACGAUAUCCCUGGAAAUUGUUAAAUGUAACGGAGCAAGCGCUAACGGGACGUACGAAAAAUGGCAGUUUCGUGAAGUGCAGCGGUGUUUCGUCAACAAACUCUGAUUUUUUUACGGACAGAAUGACUUUCGACGACGAUAUCGCGAGCAAAUACGACAUUCUCGUCUGGUGAUCACACGGUUUCCUUUGGAAACCAGGAUCAGGUUUCUCUCCAUCGAAACGUCAACAAUCAUCAUCGUUAUUUUCAUCCAGCGUUACCUCACCGUUGUUCCCAGAACCUCAAGUGCGCAGAGAAUUAAGAAUUUGACUGCUGACUGUACGCCGUAUCAUCAUUAGGUAUCUCAUGAUAAGCCGAGGCACCCAUAUUGAUGAUUAGCGAAUACGUGGAUAGAUCCCCAUCCCAUCACGAUUCACCGCAUUUGCGACGGAGAUUAUACCAGACGCAUCUCCAGCUUCCAUUUUUUGUCUAUACCCAGAGGCGCCCUAGACCUUAAAGUUAAAAGUACACCAGCUCUCACAGUCAACCUGCCGAUACCUCACUGACUGAAGCUCCAAAGGAACAGUCAAAUAAAAGUUGCUUCCACCUAAAACAAUGAGCAGUGUUAUAUUCGUCGUGGAGUAUCCACUGUUCAUCACUUAGUUCCUGAGCCAAUAGUUAAAUGCGGCAGAGAUCAACUCCCGGAUGCUGUGUAGGACCUUUGCUUUGGCGGAGAUCCGAAGAAACGAGCUUUAAAAAACCGAAACAGAAAGGACGAAAAUUGUCAGCCCGAAAAUCUUGUUAACAAUGUCACCAGGAUGUCGCAGGACUUCAGCGCACAAAAUUUCGGAUCGGAUCAGUUCGUCGUAACUCAGGCUUCCGUUGCCUGAAACCUAACGUUAAUAGCUGGUCAAUAAUUAAAAAAAUCCCUUUCCGGGAUACCCGGUUUAUUAAUAGAAGAUCAAUCUAAAAAUACCUAUAUCUCAUUAAUCUGUAAUUAAUAUUGACACAUAUGUUACAACGGCAACUGUGAAAAAUGUCCACAACUGCCUGUUUCUAACCGGGCAUUAUCACUGUAGACGAUCUCAACGACUUUAAAUCUGCCAUCGUGCUAAAUUAUCGUCAUACGGUACACGCAUGCAAUUUCUUACUCGGCAUAUAUCUAUUUCUCUUUAAUCAUUCUUUUAUAAAGUGUCAUACAACUAAUGCCUAUCCUCCUGGCAAUCGUUGAACCGUUCAGUCCGUUGCAGGAGACAUUUUUAAAUCGUAUCUUUUUCAUACCUGUUGCCUACUGUACCGAUAUGAUGUAACAAAAUCUUUCUCAUUACAACGACGUCGCUCUUAUCUGUCGGAGACGAGUUACUGUAAAAGUCUGUGACUUAUCAAUUAUCGAGCUCAACGAUUGCUCGAAGAUCGAUGGGUACUCAUUACAUUUAGCGUGUAUUUUAUAAGAGUCUCAAUUCUGUCACACAUCUAGUCGGGAGUGUCUCGUGCCGAAUUUACACGUUUCGCAUAGAAUAAUAAUCACUAUAGAUCCUGUUAUAAAUCGUACAAGUGAAAUGGCUGAUCCCCAGUCCCUUAGUCAGGUAGUGGGUAUCGCGAUGCCGGAAAUACCAACUACCGACAAUUGAAGUGAGCCGUGACCCUUGCGAAACUGGGUGCACAAAGACCUUGGCGCUAUGGUAACAAUAAGGCCCGUUCACAUUGAACGGUAGGAACGAUGAUUUACUUCACCUCAGUCUUCGAACUCUUUUCCUUCUUUCGCUUGUUCGCCUUUCGCGCGUUUAUUUAUUUCUAAGGAAAUGUCUAUGCAAAAAUUGGCACGUGAGUCGCGUGAAUUUGCGCAAUUUACACAAUUGUGAACGCUCCUUUAAACGGGAACAAUAUUUCACGGAUUACAAUCGACCCGCUGUCAUUGUGUAAUAUCGUGUUUACAUUCGAUUACACGUUUAUUUAUUACCUAUAGGUUUAAGAUGAAAUUCGUGUGACGAUGCUGUCGUAAUUUAAUUGUUUAUCAGCAGUUAAGGAGUAACGACUGAAAUCAUUAAGUCAUCCCGAGUCUUCUACUGUCUUUUUAUAAUUAUAUAUGCGAUAAUUAUAACAUCGUUAACUUAAUGCCUAAAUAUAGGGUCAGAUUGUCAAAGCGGUCUUACUCCGGUUAAUUAGUGCGGAUAGUAAAGCUUUCGAUGUUACGACAUAAAGACUUUAAGAAUCAUCGGUUGUCCAUGUUACCUAAUUGACUAAUUAUACAGUACAACUGUACUUAUCGAGAUUUUCAUUUACUCUGGGGACGAAAUUAAUGCCUCUUUUUUCGCAUCCACGCUCUGUAUCAAACGAUACGACAAGAUAUGAAUUAUCCUUAUUCCGAUGACGUGGUGCCACGUGCUAUUUACAAGGAGACGAACAUAUGUGAUUCGGUACACAUGGGUUACGAGUCUCGUCGGAUGGUAGCGUGGAAGUUAAAUUAAAGAAAUUCAGUUACAGACGCACAACGUAUAUAUACAUCCGGUAGUAGUUAAGAGAGAGAGAAAUAAAAUGGAAAUCAUUGAAAUUGUCAAAUAAUACAUAUUCACUAAUGUGACACCGUGCACAGGCAUUUUUGACACUGGGAUCGAUGGUGAAUUCUAAAACCACGUAUCGCAUAGAAACGCAGUAAGGUUAUCGUUUCGCUAUAAUUCGUACGCUACAAGGAUACCAUUAUUCCUAUAAGCCGCAAAAUCGAAAGUCCCUGUUUAAUUAUCACGUGGAUAAGAAUUUUCGAUUAAAUAAUCUCAGGCGUGUAACCCAGACGUCAGGUGACGUUGUGACUGAUAGUGCCGAAUGAAAGACACGAAAUGCUUGUAACGAGGAUUUUGAAAUGUACGUUGUAACAAUAAAUGGCCCAGAUGACCGAAAUGGCCUACGUGAAUAAUAUAAUGUAAAAUGGUG